rnacentral:rRNA from 1 species
AACGAACGCUGGCGGCAGGCUUAACACAUGCAAGUCGAGCGCCCCGCAAGGGGAGCGGCAGACGGGUGAGUAACGCGUGGGAAUCUACCCAUCUCUACGGAAUAACGCAUGGAAACGUGUGCUAAUACCGUAUACGUCCUUCGGGAGAAAGAUUUAUCGGAGAUGGAUGAGCCCGCGUUGGAUUAGCUAGUUGGUGGGGUAAAGGCCUACCAAGGCGGCGAUCCAUAGCUGGUCUGAGAGGAUGAUCAGCCACACUGGGACUGAGACACGGCCCAGACUCCUACGGGAGGCAGCAGUGGGGAAUAUUGGACAAUGGGCGCAAGCCUGAUCCAGCCAUGCCGCGUGAGUGAUGAAGGCCCUAGGGUUGUAAAGCUCUUUCACCGGUGAAGAUAAUGACGGUAGCCGGAGAAGAAGCCCCGGCUAACUUCGUGCCAGCCGCCGCAGUAAAAC